UUGGUUUCCAAACUCUGAUGAUCUCCUAUGGAUGGUGUAUUACUGAAUAAUGAAGACGGCAGAUAUAGAGUUCGGGACCAUGAGAAAUAUAUAACCGUGGCCUCCCAUCAUACCACGUUUCUGCAGAUUUGCCACACCUUCCUUAAACGCAGCGGAAAAGUAGGAUCAUGGUGGAGGACGUGGGUGCUGGACCACUUCAGGAUCACCC
rnacentral:lncRNA from 1 species